CAUAUGUAUGGUUAUUUUCAGAUGAAUUCCAACUGUCCAGAAUAGAUUAUUACUACUGUACAAGAGAUUAACUCUGCAAAGAUGGAGAUUGCUAAUUUUAGUCGUGAUCUCCCGUCCUGUACAAGUAUGGGAGUUAACUGUACUGGACAGCUUGCUCUUAUCUCAGGUCGGAGAUGUCAAGGAUUGCUCAACCUGGAUAAUCCAUCUGUUCUCCUGAACCGUGAAACCAGGACGAGUAAAUGGGACGUGAUCUCCUGUCAAUGGAGUCCUCUGGAAGAGAAUAAAAUUGCAGUAGCCAGUAACAACAAGAUUGAAAUAUUAAAUCUUUAUGAUACAGAUUUGUUACCAGAGUUCUCACUCCGUGCACACACUAGAGUUAUCACUGAUAUCGCCUGGCACACCCAUAACAAGGAUAUACUAGCCACUAGUGCUACAGAUGCUUUUAUCUAUUUAUGGGAUCUCAGAGACGGUCGGCGGCCAAAAAUGGCACUUCAAGCUGUUGCCGGGGCCGUGAAGGUUAAAUGGAAUAAAGUUAGUGGCAAGUAUUUGGCUUCAGCACAUGAAGGAGAGAUAAAACUCUGGGAUAUAAGAGCAAGUAAGUCUCCGGUUCAGUAUAUAAAUGCUCAUCUCUCCAGGAUAUAUGAUAUGGACUGGAGCCACGAGGAUGAGAACCAUCUUGUCUCUGCUAGUCAGGAUAUGACUGUCAAGUACUGGAAUAUAUCCAACCCGGGUAAAGCGGAAGGGAUAAUCAAGGUUCAAUCUGCUCCGGUCUGGAGAGUAAACCGUACUCCGUUCGGUCAUGGUCUUCUCACCCUUGGAAUGCAGUCGGUUGUGCGCGGAGAGAAUAAUCUGAUGCUCUGGAACAACAACAAUCUUGUAUCUCCGGUCCAUACCUUUUAUGUACCAGACAUGAUUCUAGAUCUGGCCUGGAGACAGUGGUCAGAGUCAAACCGCUGUCAACUUGUAACCUGGUCUAAAGAUCUUACUCUCCGAAUCUGGAACCUUGAUCUAGAGUUGCAGGAGAAGUGUGGACUGGUUUUAGAGGAGGAGGUAGAGAUUGAUCGUAGUGAGGAUUUUGAGCAGAUCUGUCCAGGAGACGACAGAUUAUCUUUAGACGACGAAGGGUCUUCUGAGAACUAUGUCGAAUUUGAAGAAGAAGAAACUGUCGUUGUUGCGUCCCCGAUAAAUUCAUUUCGUCGCCCAAUUGGGUUCAAUCGGAAAAAUUUCUCUGCGAGCCUUCAAAACAGUUUGCCGGGGAAUUUUGAACGUGAUAAACCUAUGAAUUUAAACUACGAAUUUUCUCUGAUAAACCUGAGCGAGAAGUUGAGAGUUGAACAUGAAAACUCUGAAGAAAGAGUGUUUACAGUGUCUGCACAAACAAGGAAGAAUCAACUUGUCCUAAACGUGAAGUUUCCAAUAAACUAUCCGAACCAGGUUGCACCAUCGUUUAGUUUCCUCGAGGGAACUACCAUAGAUAACGUGAGCAGAAACAAUAUUCUUCAAAGAUUAAAGAGUGCUGCUAAGCAGCAAACCUCUAGGAACCGUCGUUGCUUAGAAUCCUGUCUCCGACAGUUUGAGCUGAGUGUGGAUAAUCUGAACCUAGUUGAAGAGGAGCAGUUGCAGGUUAACAACCCCCAGCUCACUGGUAUCACUAAGUCCAAAUCAAUGUUUGGAGAAUUUCCUGAUCAUAAUGUCCCGUUUCCGCGUAGUUCCGGAGCUAGAUUCUGCGGAGACGGACAUCUUGUCUGUUUUGGGUUUACCCGGCAGUAUAUGGUUAAGAUACAAUCUCCGGAGUUAGAUCCUGCUGAGGUUGAGCUUGGUUCAAGUGCAGAUAUUGCUAAAACCCCCCGAGCUUUAUCAGCAUACUCCUCCAAGAUGUCUUUACUCUCGAACGGAUCCACCUCGCCUAAAUUUGGUGGAAUGAACGUGUUGUCUCUUUUUGAUCAGAACGGUUCCCAGGACUUUCCGUUGCAAGCUCGGGUCUCCAGAGUUCGGUUCUCCUCUCAGAAGAGCCGAACUUUAUCUUCGUCUUCUGAUGACAAUCUCUGGAACACGGUGGAUAAAAGAAAUAAACUUUCCGUGUUAAGCCGGAGUAAGAAGCUAGCUGAGGCGAAAGUUACUGUUUACAACUGCUCCGCUUUGCUCCCAUACUGCAAGAAGUUGGCUAGUAAAUAUCUAGUUCCAUGUUCUCCGGGUGCGCUUAACCUCUCUACUUUUCAGAUUUGCGAACAUAAUGCCCAGGUUGCAAUUGAGCACGAUAGACCAGACCUACAGAAGAUUUGGUCUCUAGCUGCUGUUGUUGCAUCCUCAAACUCUUCUUCUCAUGAUCAACUUCGCCCCUGGGCAGCACAUCCGUGUGGGCGUUCCCUUCUAACAAGUAUCAUCUCCCAUCAUGUUUCUAUUAAAGAUGUGCAGACUGCUGCAGUUCUCAGUUGUAUAUUUGGGAAUAAAGUUGAAUAUACUCCUAGGGUCAGAAAGAAAAACAGUAAAUCUGAAAGUAUCCAAGUUGACAAGGAUUCAGCUUGUGAUGCGCUAUCCUACACCUCUCCUGGAAGAGCCAAUAGAUCCAACUCAGACACUCAGAACGACGAAACCUAUCACGGAUCUAUGGAAAGAAGAUUAUCUAUGUAUAGCGAUGAUGGAGAAGAAUAUUCCCAGUUCUGGGAGGAUUCUCGGCUCCUGGAUCCGAAAUUAAACUCAACCUACGAUGGACUAAUAGAAUCCUACGCGGACCUCCUUUACCGGUGGAAGAUGUUCCAGCAAAGAGCUGAGUUGAUGAAACAAAUCUCUGAGUUGAAGCAUGUUAGCUCCUAUACCUCUAGCAUAACUCUGAUAUGUCCAACCUGUGGUAAGAUACUACGAGGUCCCUGGUGUAUCUCCUGCCGAACCCUCUCCUUCAAUUGCUCAGUGUGUAGAUCUCCAUGUCGAGGUCUAGUUUCUCUCUGCCAGCAGUGUGGACACGGUGGACACGCUCUACAUCUCAGUCAAUGGUUUGCACAGAAUAUCAGCUGUCCCUCGGGCUGUGGAUGUAAAUGCCCUAAAAAAUAAGUUAAAAUAACGGCACAUUUUUAUCAGUUUGGGUUUUGUUGGUACAAUGAAAUUUGGAUAUUUAAUGUAAACAAUCAAAUAAGUCGUCCAUGAUCUAAAUUUAAUGAAUUUGUAUAACUUUCAGCGAUGUAGCUCAAAUAUUUACGUCUUACACAUUGCUUUAUACGUUGCACUGUAUUUAGUCUUUUUGUUAAAGUGAGUUCAAGAUGCAUUUUAAUAACCAAGCAUUUCUUAAAAAAGAAAAACUAUUUUAUAUUUUGAUAAUACAAACAUUUAUUUUCGGUUUACCACUUACACAUUUAAUUUUAUAUUUGAUACUUGAUGUGAUACCUUAAAUAUCUUGUUUAAUUUUACAUUAUACAUUAUUAUACAACUACAUACAUGCUAUAUUUUACUCAAUGGGUGAAUUUUUCAGAAA
rnacentral:misc_RNA from 1 species